GCGCGAGUGGUUUAGUGGUUAUAACGACACGCUCACACCGUGUAGGUCGGGGGUUCGAUUCCCUCCUCGCGCA
rnacentral:tRNA from 1 species